UACGGGGGGAGCAAGCGUUGUUCGGAUUUACUGGGCGUAAAGGGCGCGUAGGCGGCCAGCACAAGUCAGUUGUGAAAUCUCCGAGCUUAACUCGGAAAGGUCAACUGAUACUGUGCGGCUAGAGUGCGGAAGGGGCAACUGGAAUUCUUGGUGUAGCGGUGAAAUGCGUAGAUAUCAAGAGGAACACCUGCGGCGAAGGCGGGUUGCUGGGCCGACACUGACGCUGAUGCGCGAAAGCAUGGGGAGCAAACAGG
rnacentral:rRNA from 1 species